GCCGAGCGCCGCCUACUGGGCGCGCACCCGGGACUCCGCUCCCCGCUCCCGGAUCCUGGGGCUGUGCGGAGCCCGGAGUCGCUGGAGGUGUGCGCGCUCCGGAGCGCACCACUGGCGCCCCUCCCCGCAGGGGUGGUCGACCCCGGAGACCGCUUCACGCCCGGGCUCUGUCGCCCCAUACCCACGGCGGGCGCGCACGGCCUGCGGCCCCGGGAAGGGUCUGCGGCGGCAGGUCGCGGCCUAGCGGUGCGCGCGCCCGGCCGCGGCCUGCCCGCCCCUUUCCG
rnacentral:lncRNA from 1 species